rnacentral:lncRNA from 1 species
AAUUAUACAACUAAUAGUCACAAACCCAAGUCGGCUAAUGUGAAAACAGGCAUAAUCCAAAAUGUGUUUAUUUAAAUAUAAUCCCCAAUGUAUAAAAAUGUAGAAGAAAAGAAAAGAAAAAAAAAAAAAAAUGAUAGAGUAUCCAUACCACGUAAUGCGUUUAUAUACACAUAUACAGAUACCGAUUGUGAACAUGUGCUAAUAAAAAAAUUUAUUUACAUAUGUCAAGUUCUAAGUGCCAACAUUUGUGCGUUUUUUUUUUUUUUUUUUUUUUUUUUUUUUUUAACAUUAAAAAAGAAAUGAUUUUGCCGCUAAGUCCUUCCUUAGUACUAUAAAUUAUGUCUUUAAAACGCAUACACAUUUCAAUAAAAUUUCAAAAAGAGCUUAAUAAACUUGUUGAGUUCAAAAAGAAUAGUUUAAAAAAUUCGAACAAACAAAAUCGACACUUCUGUUUUCAUUUUACAAGACGUACUAAAAAAUUAUUAUUUUCAUGUAGUGACGAUCGAAAUGGAAAAGAACAUAAAGAAAGUAAAAAAAGUAAUAUAAUAGUUUAUGAGAAAAAUGAAAAAAAUGAAAAAAAUGAGGAAAUCGAUUUUUUUAACACGUUACUAGGAUGUAAAAGUGAUAACAUGACUAGUAGUAGUCGCAACGCGUCCCCGGUUGUGAAAUUUGCGCCGCUUGAACAAGAAAACAUAUACAUGCUAAAACGACUUAUAAACAAUCUUGAUAAUCUUAACUACGUUCUGAGUAAGCAUGAUGUAAUUUACUCACAACUGUCUGAACUGUUUGCGAAAGAAUUAAAUCGUCCACGAUACUUUCUAAGUUUUGAAGAAAAAAAAAAAAUCGACAUUUGUUUUUCUGGGUACUAUGCUUUAGACGAUGUAGAUAUAAUGUACAUAUUUAAUUUCUACAUGAAACUAAAAAAAUAUUUUUUUUUUUUUUUUACUUUACUCUUAAAAAUAAUAAAACAAAUUGAUCAUUUUUCAAAUAUAAGCAAUGAAACAUGUAUUAUUUUUUUAAAAAACUGUGUAAAAUUGCAAAAGGAAAUACAUAAAAAUUGUACCACAAUUA